rnacentral:rRNA from 1 species
CCAGACUCCUACGGGAGGCAGCAGUGGGGGAUAUUGCACAAUGGGGGGAACCCUGAUGCAGCGACGCCGCGUGGGUGAAGGAGUGCUUCGGCAUGUAAAGCCCUAUCGGCAGGGAAGAAGCAAGACGGUACCUGACUAAGAAGCCCCGGCUAACUACGUGCCAGCAGCCGCGGUAAUACGUAGGGGGCGAGCGUUAUCCGGAUUCACUGGGUGUAAAGGGAGCGUAGACGGCCAAGCAAGCCAGGGGUGAAAGCCCAUGGCUUAACCAUGGUACUGCUCUGGAAACUGUGGAGCUUGAGUGCGGGAGGGGCAGGCGGAAUUCCUGGUGUAGCGGUGAAAUGCGUAGAUAUCAGGAGGAACACCGGCGGCGAAGGCGGCCUGCUGGACCGCGACUGACGUUGAGGCUCGAAAGCGUGGGGAGCGAACAGGAUUAGAUACCCUGGUA